rnacentral:rRNA from 1 species
GAUGAACGCUGGCGGCGUGCCUAACACAUGCAAGUUGAGCGAUUCACUUCGGUGAAGAGCGGCGGACGGGUGAGUAACGCGUGGGUAACCUGCCUCAUACACAUGGAUAACAUACAGAAAGGUAUGCUAAUACAAGAUGACAUAAGAGAUUCGCAUGAAUUUCUUAGCAAAGCUCCGGCGGUAUGAGAUGGACCCGCGUCUGAUUAGCUAGUUGGUAAGGUAACGGCUUACCAAGGCGACGAUCAGUAGCCGACCUGAGAGGGUGAUCGGCCACAUUGGAACUGAGACACGGUCCAAACUCCUACGGGAGGCAGCAGUGGGGAAUAUUGCACAAUGGGCGAAAGCCCGAUGCAGCAACGCCGCGUGAGCGAUGAAGGCCUUCGGGUCGUAAAGCUCUGUCCUCAAGGAAGAUAAUGACGGUACUUGAGGAGGAAGCCCCGGCUAACUACGUGCCAGCAGCCGCCGUAACAC